AGAAUGAACGCUGGCGGCAUGCCUAACACAUGCAAGUCGAACGAGACCUUCGGGUCUAGUGGCGCACGGGUGCGUAACGCGUGGGAAUCUGCCCUUGGGUUCGGAAUAACAGUGGGAAACUACUGCUAAUACCGGAUAAUGACGUAAGUCCAAAGAUUUAUCGCCCAGGGAUGAGCCCGCGUAAGAUUAGCUAGUUGGUGGGGUAAAGGCCUACCAAGGCGACGAUCUUUAGCUGGUCUGAGAGGAUGAUCAGCCACACUGGGACUGAGACACGGCCCAGACUCCUACGGGAGGCAGCAGUGGGGAAUAUUGGACAAUGGGCGAAAGCCUGAUCCAGCAAUGCCGCGUGAGUGAUGAAGGCCUUAGGGUUGUAAAGCUCUUUUACCCGGGAAGAUAAUGACUGUACCGGGAGAAUAAGCCCCGGCUAACUCCGCGCCAGCAGCCGC
rnacentral:rRNA from 1 species